UUGACUCGAGAUUCUUGAAAUCCCUGAUUGGGGUCCCGUCGACUGAAAAGAUGAUGUGUCUAGGAUUCCAGAGGAUGGAGUAGGUAUGGAAGUCCUUGGUGGGGUCGAACCAGAGGCGGAACUGCUGCUCACGGUUGCCCUUCCCAUGUGCGAAGAUAUUGGUAUGGAGGGUGUAGGGUUCACCUGUGGAGUUACCGAGGAACUCUAAGUCAAUUUCGUCGUGUGUGGGGCCUUG
rnacentral:misc_RNA from 1 species